rnacentral:tRNA from 1 species
GAGAAGACGGCAUUGGAAGUGCGGGUUCGAGUCCCGUAAAUCAAGUAUGCAUAUUGGUUUUAGAGGUUCGAGUCCUCUCCUUCUCU